rfam:Camelus ferus unplaced genomic scaffold scaffold1713, whole genome shotgun sequence.
GAGGGUAUAGCUCAGUGGUAGAGUGCAAGCUUAGCAUGCACAAAUUCCAGGGUUCAAUUCCCAGUGCCUCCG